rnacentral:rRNA from 1 species
UUAGAGUUUGAUCCUGGCUCAGGAUGAACGCUAUCGGCAGGCUUAACACAUGCAAGUCGAGGGGCAGCGAGAUCAGUGCUUGCACUGAUUGUCGGCGACCGGCGCACGGGUGCGUAACGCGUAUGCAACCUACCCAUUACAGGGGGAUAACACUGAGAAAUCGGUACUAAUACCCCAUAACAUCCAGGGAGGCAUCUUCUUGGGUUGAAAACUCCGGUGGUAAUGGAUGGGCAUGCGUUGUAUUAGUUAGUUGGUGGGGUAACGGCUCACCAAGACAACGAUACAUAGGGGGACUGAGAGGUUAACCCCCCCACAUUGGUACUGAGACACGGACCAAACUCCUACGGGAGGCAGCAGUGAGGAAUAUUGGUCAAUGGACGCAAGUCUGAACCAGCCAUGCCGCGUGCAGGAAGACGGCUCUAUGAGUUGUAAACUGCUUUUGUACGAGGGUAAACGCAGAUACGCGUAUCUGUCUGAAAGUAUCGUACGAAUAAGGAUCGGCUAACUCCGUGCCAGCAGCCGCGGUAAUACGGAGGAUUCAAGCGUUAUCCGGAUUUAUUGGGUUUAAAGGGUGCGUAGGCGGUCGGAUAAGUUAGAGGUGAAAUCCCGGGGCUCAACUUCGGAAUUGCCUCUGAUACUGUUCGGCUAGAGAGUAGUUGCGGUAGGCGGAAUGUAUGGUGUAGCGGUGAAAUGCUUAGAGAUCAUACAGAACACCGAUUGCGAAGGCAGCUUACCAAGCUACUUCUGUCGUUGAGGCACGAAAGCGUGGCCCCCAAAAGGGAUUAGAAUACCUAGGUAGUCAACGCAGUAACCCAUGAAAGCUCGUUGUCGGCGAUACAGUGUCGGUGACUAAGCGAAAAGCGAUAAAAUUAUCCACCUGGGGAGUCGGUUCGCAAGAAUGAAAACUCAAAGGAAUAGACGGGGGCCCGCACAAGCGGAGGAACAUGUGGUUUAAUUCGAUGAUACGCGAGGAACCUUACCCGGGCUUGAAAGUUAGUGACGGAUCUUGAAAGAGGUCUUCCCUUCGGGGCACGAAACUAGGUGCUGCAUGGUUGUCGUCAGCUCGUGCCGUGAGGUGUCGGGUUAAGUCCCAUAACGAGCGCAACCCCUACCGUUAGUUGCCAGCAGGUCAAGCUGGGCACUCUGACGGGACUGCCGGUGUAAGCCGAGAGGAAGGUGGGGAUGACGUCAAAUCAGCACGGCCCUUACGUCCGGGGCUACACACGUGUUACAAUGGCAGGUACAGAGGGCAGCUACCCAGCGAUGGGAUGCGAAUCUCGAAAGCCUGUCUCAGUUCGGAUUGGAGGCUGAAACCCGCCUCCAUGAAGUUGGAUUCGCUAGUAAUCGCGCAUCAGCCAUGGCGCGGUGAAUACGUUCCCGGGCCUUGUACUCACCGCCCGUCA